rnacentral:rRNA from 1 species
UACGUAGGCAGCAAGCGUUGUUCGGAGUUACUGGGCGUAAAGGGUGUGUAGGCGGUUCUUUAAGUUUGGUGUGAAAUCUCCCGGCUCAACUGGGAGGGUGCGCCGAAUACUGAGGGACUAGAGUACGGGAGAGGAAAGUGGAAUUCCUGGUGUAGCGGUGAAAUGCGUAGAUAUCAGGAGGAACACCGGUGGUGUAGACGGCUUCUGGACCGACACUGACGCUGAGACACGAAAGCGUGGGUAGCAAACAGG